UACAACUUUCAACAACGGAUCUCUUGGUUCUGGCAUCGAUGAAGAACGCAGCGAAAUGCGAUAAGUAGUGUGAAUUGCAGAAUUCAGUGAAUCAUCGAAUCUUUGAACGCACAUUGCGCCCUUUGGUAUUCCAAAGGGCAUGCCUGUUCGAGCGUCAUUUG
rnacentral:rRNA from 3 species